CUGGGACCGAGCUGCCCCGGAAGGGACCGAGGGGUCUCCAGCUCCGCCGCGCUCAUGGGACGCACUCUGGGGUCCGGUGGGAAGGCAGAGGUCCAUCCCGAUGACGCCAUCGGCCCUGUCCUGGAUCGCCCUCGCUCCUCCCUCCCGCCCAACCAACCUAUACCUACCUGAGUACCACCUGGAUGGGCGUUUCUGGCCCCUCUGGCCCCUGCUCCAGGCUCCGCACGGGGUCCCUGUGGCCGCAACAUGGAAAAAUGGAAGAAGAGAGAGGGGGCAGGGGAAGCAGUGUAAGGGGAAAGCGGCUGUGAAUGGCGGGAACGAGUAGGACCCUGAACUAUGCACCGGCUGGCGCUGGUUGCCUUUACGGCAGGUUGCCUUUUCCUGCUGUAAACGCGGUAAGUGAACAAGUUGUUCCUUUAAAUGUCCCUAAGGGACGCCUGGGUGGCUCAGUUGGUUAAGCGUCCCAACUUCAGCUCGGGUCAUGAUCUCGUGGUUCAUGAGUUCAAGCCCCGUGUUGGGCUCUGCCCUCAUGGUGCAGAGCCUGCUUGGGAUUCUCCCUCACUCCUUCACUCCCUCUGCCCCUUCCCCGCUUGCGCACAUGCGCGCUCUCUCUCUCUCUCUCUCAAAAUAAAUAAACAAACUUUAAAAAAAAUGUCCCUAAAAGGGUUAAGGACCACUAGUCAUUCCACAUUUUCGUGUGCUUUGGGCUUAAUCAAAUUGCUAUCCCUUUUCAAGCUCGACUGAGAUGAGCCACACUGCAGGGAUUUUGAGAGAAAUGCCAAGACAAGGGAUAUGCACAGGACAGGGUAUGAUCGGCUGUUUGGCGUGACUUUUGCACAGGGGUUCCCAACCUGGGUCAGAAUGUGUACAUCACUCAGUGUCCAUAAGCAAGAGUGAAGUUCUAGUUCUGUUCUCUAACAGUGAGUAAGGACAGUGGCUAGCCUUAAAUUGUGAGUUCG